CCGCCCGUCACAUCACGAAAAGUGGGUUGUACUAGAAGUCUGCGCGCUAACCCGCAAGGGGAGCAGCGGCCCAAGGUAUGACUCAUGAUUGGGGUG
rnacentral:rRNA from 1 species